GAUGAACGCUGGCGGCGUGCCUAAUACAUGCAAGUCGAGCGAACGGACGAGAAGCUUGCUUCUCUGAUGUUAGCGACGGACGGGUGAUUAACACGUGGGUAACCUACCUAUAAGACUGGGAUAACUUCGGGAAACCGGAGCUAAUACCGGAUAAUAUUUUGAACCGCAUGGUUCAAAAGUGAAAGACGGUCUUGCUGUCACUUAUAGAUGGAUCCGCGCUGCAUUAGCUAGUUGGUAAGGUAACGGCUUACCAAGGCAACGAUGCAUAGCCGACCUGAGAGGGUGAUCGGCCACACUGGAACUGAGACACGGUCCAGACUCCUACGGGAGGCAGCAGUAGGGAAUCUUCCGCAAUGGGCGAAAGCCUGACGGAGCAACGCCGCGUGAGUGAUGAAGGUCUUCGGAUCGUAAAACUCUGUUAUUAGGAAAGAACAUAUGUGUAAGAAACUGUGCAUAUCUUGACGGUACCUAAUCAGAAAGCCCCGGCUAACUACGUG
rnacentral:rRNA from 1 species